rnacentral:rRNA from 1 species
UACGUAGGGUGCGAGCGUUGCCCGGAUUUAUUGGGCGUAAAGAGCUCGUAGGUGGUUUGUUACGUCUGCUGUGAAAACCUAGGGCUUAACCCUGGGCUUGCAGUGGAUACGGGCAGACUAGAGGUAGGUAGGGGAGAAUGGAAUUCCUGGUGUAGCGGUGAAAUGCGCAGAUAUCAGGAGGAACACCGGUGGCGAAGGCGGUUCUCUGGGCCUUACCUGACACUGAGGAGCGAAAGCGUGGGGAGCGAACAGG